rnacentral:rRNA from 1 species
AUACGUAGGGGGCGAACGUUGUCCGGAUUUAUUGGGCGUAAAGGGUACGCAGGCGGCCAUGUAAGUCAGAUGUGAAAUCCUAGGGCUUAACCCUAGUUAGCAUUUGAAACUGUGUGGCUUGAGUUAAGGAGAGGAAAGUGGAAUUCCUAGUGUAGCGGUGAAAUGCGUAGAUAUUAGGAGGAAUACCAGUGGCGAAGGCGACUUUCUGGACUUAUACUGACGCUGAGGUACGAAAGCGUGGGGAGCAAACAGGAUUAGAUUCCCUGGUAGUCCACGCCGUAAACGAUGAGUGCUAGGUGUCGGGGGUCAAACCUCGGUGCCGCAGCUAACGCAUUAAGCACUCCGCCUGGGGAGUACGUACGCAAGUAUGAA